GACACUUUUACCUCUCAUUUACCUGGAGACAAUUUUAAAAAUCAAAAUGGAGCAAACAUUCCAAAGGUUGGUUAUCAGUGAAAGAAUGGUGAAUCCUGAAGUGGUCAUUCUACAUCCCUGCCAACUGAACUAUUUUAUUAAGUGGAAACACUGAGAAAUAUGUGAAUAUGACUUAGAAAUUUAUCCUAUUUUCAUAAUUCCAAAGAUCUCCUAACCCUGCUGGGCUUCUAGGUGAGGCAAUUGUAAUGGCUUUAUGGCUUUAACCUGCUGCUCAUUCAAGAAUGGUAGUAAUGAACACAAAUUAAUAGUGAGCACUUUUCCACAGGCCAUGUUAGCAGGUGGGGUGGGGUGCCAGCUCUGCUGUCUCCCCAAACAGCCUCCAGCAUCGAUUUGGUGCUUUUUCUUUCACUGUUCCAUUUAAUAACAAUAAAUGCUCCCUGGUGGCAGGGUCCUGGAAGUGACAUGCUCCUGUCACUGCAGAGCCUCAGUGUGCUGAAAGCCAAGGGGAUGAUGUGUUAGACGCUCUGUUCUUUUCCUGUAAGGUUGCUUUUUUCAGUGAUUUCUAUUUAUAUACCAUGGGUGUGUCUGGAGAGAGAACUCCAUCCCUGUCCUUGGAAAUAGUGUCUCACAAGAGCUGCCUGCAUCUCUGCAGUCCUCCCAUUUAACGCUGGACAGAGAAGUUGCCUCCAACCCUUAACAUUCCGGCCUGGUUCUUACUCAUGCCCGUAUUAACAACGUUAUUAAUUAUCACAUUUUUCUAGCAGCUCGAACCCCGGGGUGAGGAGGCUGCCGCGGGAUUCGAACCCGUGGCUGAAGGACUCGAACCGGCAGCCCCGGGACGCGAACCCGCGGCCCCUUCGCUGAGGGGGGCGGAGCUUCUUCCAACGGCGGGCGGGGCCGGGCGGUGCCGGUGGGUCGGGGGCGGCCGGGAGUAACCGAGGCUGCACGGGGGGUAAUGAGCAAGGCCGGAGGGCAGGGGAAGCCCGUGGGCUUAGGAAGGGCCGUCCCAGCCGGGUGCGACAGCGGAGGAGGCCUGCCGGGAACGGGGGUCUCUCCCCGCGGGUGGCACCUCAGGGCCCCCCCUCAGGCCUGCGCCCCCGGCCCGUCCGCUCCAAGGCCGCUUGUGCUCCCUCAGGGCCGUGACGCGGGUGUGCGGCGGGGGAGCCUCCAUGCUGAACGUGACAUCCUUGAAGCAUUCCCGGUUCCACGAAUGCCCGGCAGAGCUCUGGCCCCCAGUCCCCUAUGAGUUCAUCACUACAGCGUUCUGCUUCGCCCCAGGCAUUUAGCCCCGAUCACAAGAACAGCAUCAUUAGGAGGCAGAGACAGGAGCUCAAGCUUUUAAUUUCAGAACUGAAAGAUCGUGACAAGGAGCUCAAUGACAUGGUGGAAGUGCAUGAGAGACACAUUCAGGCCUGGGAAGAUGAUCGCCAAAAAAUACUGACUUUAGCAGAACGAUGCAGUUUAUUAACUAGUGAGCUGAACGAGAGAAAUGCAGUUAUAAAAUCACUGACCAAAAAGUUAAAGUUAUUAGAAUCCCAGCAUAAUGACAGUAAAAUAACACUUGAAAGCACACAACAGAAGUUUAAAGAGCUCACUCAAAAAGUAACAGAUUCAUCUGUUCAAUGCCAGGCUCUGGAGGAGAAAAAUCAGAGUCUCCACUGCUCAGUUUUGGAACUGUCUGCUAAAACAGGCCAGCUGCAAGCCAGGGAACAGGAGCUUCUCUCUAUGCUUCAGAUGAAGGACAAGGCCUUAAUUGAAACAACUGAUCAGAUAACUGAGGUUACAUCUAAAUUUAAAACCCUGGAGAAUGCCCUGCGUACAGCAAAGUUGGAUGAAUUCACUCGCAACAGGGAACACCAGGACCUCAAAGUGACACUGAACGAUGUCAUGAGUCAAGUAAAUAAGAUGAAAGAUAUCCUCUCUGAAAAGAUGAAAGAGAGCAGCAAGAACCAGGAAGAAAUCAGUCACCUGAAACAAGAAAAUGGCUGCUUGAGGAGUGAGCUGAUACUGGCAGUGGAAGAAGCCCAGAGAAAGGAUCAACUUUUUCAGUUUGCCAAGUCGAAGCAAGUGCGGAUUGAAAGAGAAUUGUCCAGUUUGCGACAGGUCUGUGUAAAACAGCAACGGGACUUGCACUUCCUCCAUGUCAACUUUGAUAGCUCUCAGGAAUACAGGCAAAACCAUGAAAAUGCAUCAAGUGGAAAAAGUGAAGAAAACGCGGAUCUGAAUUCCCUCCACUUGGCUUCUCCUCUCUUGGCAUCCACUGAGAAGAGCAACAAGAGUCAAAGUUCUGGGAAGUUCUCUGAUGAAGAUUCCCCUCUGGACAUCAAUGACCUGGCAGUGACUAAACCAACAAAGAGAUACUGCAUGAACACAGACACCAGUUCCCUGUUCUGGAAGCUGGAGCGCUCGUUGGCCCAGUCCCGACAGAUGCUGACUGAUCUGGAGCUCAGCCUUCUCCACACAAGCAUUCCCAACACCAGCAACAAGAAUAAGAGGAAGAAGUUGGUUCCAACACAGAGGUAAUUCUGAGGACUGAAGAUCAUUCACCCAGUAGCUACAAUGGAAAGUUACCUCAUUUUUUUUUCCCGUGCUCCUCCUGAGUGUUUGAAAGACUCACAAGUGGCAAGAAGAUCUGACUCUGCAGGAAUGUAUUUUAUCUUGAAAUAAAACACAGAAUAACGCCAAGAUUAACAAAGCUAUUUUUAUAGCUGAGAGCUCAGGUUAAGCACUAGCUUGUUUUUUGAGUCUGAAGUGUGUAAUUGUUACAACAUAGGAACUAUUUUUCUUUUUCUUUUUUUUACGGUAGCUCAGAAAUAUUUAUAGAGUAUGACACAGCCAAGCAUUCUCUUUUUUUUUUUUUUUUUUUUUUUUUAAUAGCACAUUGUUUUUGUUCUGGAUUUCUUGCCUUGUAGAGAGAGAUGAAUAAUGUUUAUAGGAAGUUCCCAAUUAGUGUUGUAAGCAGGAACUGCCUCCAAUGUUGCUGAAAUGGGAGAGCUGUCGCCCACAAGAUAGACAGAACAACUUUCCACACUCAGGAGCUGGUUCUUCCAAAAAAAGUUUAUGGGAUCAGUGACAGCCUUUCCUGCAGGUAUUACUGGCCCCAGAAUUAGGUGGCCAGUUCUGAUGAGAGCUGCUAUUCUCCAGACUCUUUCCCUGCCUGCUCACCAGCAUUACCCAGAGGGAAGCUCAGCUGCUCCAGCUCUUUCCAGGUUUUCUCAAGCCUUUACAGUGCAUUUAUUCCUCUGCCUGCACAGAGCCUUCUCAGCUACAUCCUCGCAAUCUCCUCCUCUGGGUAUGACAAGAAUUCCCCCUGAAAAGCUAAUGAUGACAAUGCCAUGAUGCUCACUCUGAAGCUGUCCAGCAGCUACGCAGAGAAAUUGGUGCAACUUCCAAGCAGCAGCUGCAUUUAAAUGGUUUUGAGGUUAUUGGAUGAACUCUCUGAGUUUAAACCCCUAGAGAGUUUAAAAUGAUGACUUUAAAAUCAAUACAGAAAACUGAGCUCAAGUGAUGCAUCAAGGAUCUGCAGAGCCUUAGGAUUUUGUGUCGGGGCUGCCCUGGAUUUGUGGAAUGGGAAGAAAGGAAAGAACUGGGUUAAUUUAUUCAGCACUAAGUGACUUAAACCCCAGCUGCAUUAUUGACCACACUCGGAUGCUCGAAUGGAAACGCUUCAAACUCUGUGCCUUAAUUCUGGAAGCAGCUCAAAUACUCCAGGGAGCCCUUUGCUAUUGUAUCCUUGGUUUGAAUUAUUAUUUAAAGACAACAAAGCUUCUGUUCAGCCACGGCCUUUCCGCAGGGUGGAUACGAGCUCCGGUCAUUGACUUUGGUAACGGGAAUUGGUGUUGGAGCCCCGGGGCUCAGAACAAGCUGUGUGCAAGUGCAGUGGGAGAGGGGUGAAGAUGGGCGCUGAGAUGGGACGGUCGUGCUGGCGGUGACCGCCGUUCCUGGUGUUUCCUGAGCUGGGGUUCACCUCGGUGCCUGGUGUCCCGCCGGGGGCGCUAAAGGACGUGUCCCCCCCGCUCCGUGUCCCCUCUCCGUCUCCGUGUCCCCUCCCCAUGUCCCCGUCCCCCCCGCUCCGUGUUCUGUGUCCGUGUCCCCCCGGCUCUGCGCGGUCCUACCUGCCCGCGGGGGGAGCGGCGCUGCA